rnacentral:rRNA from 1 species
AGAGUUUGAUCAUGGCUCAGGACGAACGCUGGCGGCGUGCUUAACACAUGCAAGUCGAACGAGGUCCAUCCGGUAGCAAUACCGGAGAAGACCUAGUGGCGAACGGGUGAGUAACACGUGAGCAACCUGCCCCGAAGACCGGGAUAACAGCGGGAAACCGCUGCUAAUACCGGAUACCCCCACCGGACCGCAUGGCCUGG